rnacentral:pre_miRNA from 1 species
CCCAAGCCCAGGCUCUUUCCACUGAGCCACGCUGCACCAAACAACCGAGAAGACAUGCAGAUGAUUAUUAACUACAGCGCGGCUCAGUGGAAAGAGCAUGGGCUUGGGA